GGGGUUGUAGCUCAGUGGUAGAGCGCUUGCCUUGCAUGCAUAAGGCCCUGGGUUUGAUCCUCAGCACCA
rnacentral:tRNA from 1 species